UGGUGGGGUGACUUGUCUGCUUAACUGCGAUAACGAACGAGACCUUAACCUGCUAAAUAGCCCGCAUUGCUCCGGCAGUGCGCUGGCUUCUUAGUGGGACUUUCGGCUCAAGCCGAAGGAAGUUUGAGGCAAUAACA
rnacentral:rRNA from 1 species